rnacentral:lncRNA from 1 species
CACACUCAUUGGUUAAGAGGACAACCAACCUAUAUGGUACACAAUGACCUAUGCUUGAUAAAUAUUGUCGUCCUUGGUAACAAUGUAUCAUUUGGUCGCGAACAGAUUUAAGGACUAAAUGACAAAUCCUCCUUUGUCGAGUCUAAAUAGUCCUAAAUACUUCACCACAACAUAGGAGUUCAUUAGAAGAUGAAACAUUUUGUGAUGAAAAAUGCCAAAAUAAUUUUUAUUAAUUCAUAAUUCAUGUACAUAUACAAAAAUGAGCACAACCGUCAACAGGCUGACGAUUGGCUUUG